GACGAACGCUGGCGGCGUGCUUAACACAUGCAAGUCGAACGGUAAGGCCCUUCGGGGUACACGAGUGGCGAACGGGUGAGUAACACGUGGGUGAUCUGCCCUGCACUUCGGGAUAAGCCUGGGAAACUGGGUCUAAUACCGGAUAGGACUCCGGACUGCAUGGUCUGGGGUGGAAAGCUUUUGCGGUGUGGGAUGGGCCCGCGGCCUAUCAGCUUGUUGGUGGGGUGAUGGCCUACCAAGGCGACGACGGGUAGCCGGCCGGGGAGGGUGACCGGCAAAGCUGGGACAGGGAUACGACCCAAGCUCCAGCGGGAGGCAGCAGUGGGGAAUAAUGCCCAAUGGGAGCAAGCCUGAUGCAGCGAGGCCGCGUGAGGGAUGACGGCCUUCAGGUUGUAAACCUCUUUCAGCAUCGACGAAGCGAAAGUGACGGUAGGUGCAGAAGAAGGACCGGCCAACUACGUGCCAGCCGCCGCAGUAA
rnacentral:rRNA from 1 species